rnacentral:rRNA from 1 species
GAUGAACGCUGACAGAAUGCUUAACACAUGCAAGUCAACUUGAAUUUGGGUUUUUAACUUAGGUUUGGGUGGCGGACGGGUGAGUAACGCGUAAAGAACUUGCCUCACAGCUAGGGACAACAUUUGGAAACGAAUGCUAAUACCUAAUAUUAUGAUAAUAGGGCAUCCUAUAAUUAUGAAAGCUAUAAGCGCUGUGAGAGAGCUUUGCGUCCAUUAGCUAGUUGGAGAGGUAACGGCUCACCAAGGCGAUGAUGGGUAGCCGGCCUGAGAGGGUGAUCGGCCACAAGGGGACUGAGACACGGCCCUUACUCCUACGGGAGGCAGCAGUGGGGAAUAUUGGACAAUGGACCAAGAGUCUGAUCCAGCAAUUCUGUGUGCACGAUGAAGUUUUUCGGAAUGUAAAGUGCUUUCAGUUGGGAAGAAAGAAAUGACGGUACCAACAGAAGAAGUGACGGCUAAAUACGUG